AGGAGGUGGCUCCUCCCAGGCUGUUGGAUUGAUGGCCCCCGUUUCUCACCGGCUGGUGGCUGGAGGCUGCCCUUCUCUCACAAACGGGGCGGUUUGUGACAUGGCAGCUGCCUCCUGUGACAGCAAGAGAGCAAGAAGGCAAAGGAAGGCAAGCGAGGCAGAAGCCAGCAUCGUUUUGUAACCUGGUCUUGAAGGGACAGCCAUAUUCUGUUCACUAGAACCUGCUUUAUCAAACGCUCCCUUCCAGAAAUGUGGAUCUGCCCUGGUCUUGGGAGAUGGAGAUUGGAACCGACAAGAUUGGAAUCGACAGACUGCUCACCUUUUCUGAGCCACCCAUACCAGGCUUGACAUCUGGAAUCUCUUAGGAAAACUGGAUCCAGUCUGCCCUAUUCUUGGGCUGGCAAAACUAUAAUGUUGAAGAAAUAAAGACAGGACUGCUCUGGGAUGACUAUGCACAUUGAUGGAGAAAUGGGAUUUGGUUUAUGAAAUAUUUGGAUGAAGUCUCAGGAAGGAAGAAAGCUAACUUCUGCGGAGAGCUUACCUGACCCAGAUGAGACACCAGAAGGCUGAGCGUCAGUCUAGUGGCACUAUGAGGACUAAGAGCACGGGCUAGACAUAGAAGAGCAGGAAGACAAUUGCACCUUGGUCCCUAUUGGUAGAUUGAAUGAUUUGCUCAAAAAACACAGUGCCUCUCCAUGGGACGCCGACUCACGGCCCUCCCGGGGGGAGGGCAGCAUUCCCGUCCGUUCCAUCAGGCAUGGCCACGUGACUCACAUGGGCCAGUGGAAUGUAAGAAGAAGUGACACGUUUCCUGCUUGAGAAGUUUAGUGCCACCCCGCGAUUUCAUCAUUGCUCUUCUCCCUUUGACGUGAGGCCACAAGUCCCAGACAGGAGCUACUUCUCCAGCUUGGAGUGCAGAAAGAGGAUAACAGAACAGAGCUGCAGCUGACCUGUGAAGGGUGUUUGAUGUGAGCAAGAAGCACAACUUUGUUUCUACUUCUUGCUAUGUGACAGAAAGCAACUCCACUUUGGCUGAUCUACUGUUAUGUGCGACUAUGACAAUUCUAUCUAGUAUCAUGAAGUGCACCGCUCUGGACAGGCCUCCCUUGACGAACUUCCGUGGCAUUAUUUGUAAUCCUGUGUCUUUCCUGGUCUCCCUCUUGGACUGUGAACUCCAGCGUGCAGGAAGCUCACAUUACUCUCCUCUGCAUCUAACAGGGGCUGGCCCGUGCAAG